UGAAUACGAGACGCUAAGGCGUUGAAGUAGUGUAUGUCAUACUUCCAAGAAAAGCUUGCACUGUCAUAGAUAAAAAACGCCUGUACCAUAACCGACACAGGUGGGUAGGUAGAGUAUACUAAGGGGCGCGAGAUAACUCUCUCUAAGGAACUCGGCAAAAUAACUCCGUAACUUCGGGAGAAGGAGUGCCUUAUUUAUAAGGCUGCAAUAACAAGAUCCAAGCAACUGUUUAUCAAAAACACAGGUCUCCGCUAAGUCGUAAGACGAUGUAUGGGGGCUGACGCCUGCCCAGUGCCAGAAGGUUAAAGAAGUUGGUUAGCAAUAGCGAAGCUGAUAACUGAAGCCCUGGUGAACGGCGGCCGUAACAAUAACGGUCCUAAGGUAGCGAAAUUCCUUGUCGGGUAAGUUCCGACCCGCACGAAAGGCGUAAUGAUUUGGAUACUGUCUCGGAGAGGGGCUCGGUGAAAUAGACUUGUCUGUGAAGAUGCGGACUACCUGCACCAGGACAGAAAGACCCUAUGAAGCUUUACUGUAACUUGAAGUUGAAAUUGGACUUUAUUCGCGCAGUAUAGGUGGGAGGCGUUGAUUGUAAUCUUGCGGGAUUAUUGGAGCCAUCAGUGAGAUACCACCCUUGUAAUGUUAGAUUUCUAACUUUGAAUCAUUAUCUGGUCAAAGAACAGUUUCAGGCGGGCAGUUUGACUGGGGCGGUCGCCUCCUAAACGGUAACGGAGGCGUACAAAGGUUUCCUCUGAACGGUUAGAAAUCGUAUCUAGAGUGUAAAGGCAUAAGGAAGCUUGACUGUGAGACCUACAAGUCGAGCAGGACGAAAGUCGGUCUUAGUGAUCUGACGGUACUGAGUGGAAAGGCCGUCACUCAACGGAUAAAAGUUACUCUAAGGAUAACAGGCUGAUCUCCCCCAAGAGUUCACAUCGACGGGGAGGUUUGGCACCUCGAUGUCGGCUCAUCGCAUCCUGGGGCGGUAGUACGUCCCAAGGGUUGGGCUGUUCGCCCAUGAAAGCGGUACGCGAGCUGGGUUCAGAACGUCGUGAGACAGUUCGGUCCAUAUCCGGUGUAGGCGUUAGAAUAUUGAGAGGAGCCUUCUUUAGUACGAGAGGACCGAGAAGGACAUACCUCUGGUGUACCAGUUAUCGUGCCAACGGUAAACGCUGGGUAGCUAUGUAUGGAGUGGAUAACCGCUGAAAGCAUCUAAGUGGGAAGCCCACCUCAAGAUAAG
rnacentral:rRNA from 1 species